rnacentral:lncRNA from 1 species
GCUGACUCUCUUUUCGGACUCAGCCCGCCUGCACCCAGGUGAAAUAGACAGCCAUGUUGCUCACACAAAGCCUGUUUGCUGGUCUCUUCACACUGACUCGAGUGAAAUUUGGUGCCGUGACUAGGAUCGGGGGACCUCCCUUGGGAGAUCAAUCCCCCGUCCUCCUACACUUUGCUCUGUGAGAAAGAUCCACCUACAACCUCAGGUCCUCAGACCAACCAGCCCAAGAAACAUCUCACCAAUUUCAAAUCCGUGAUAGAUCACAACAAGAGAUCAUGAAGAGGGCAUGGCCGCCAUGUCAUUCUGGAGAGAGACAGAGUAAAACAAAGAAGCAGCCUCUCUACAAGUCUCCUAACUUAACCUGAUGGGAAAACACUUCCUACCACUAACAGCAUCUACUUGAUUACUGAUACUUUGAUCAUGGAGUUUGGGCAUGCCACUUGAUAGAAAUUUGAAGAGCAAUUAUAUUUUUCAAAAAGAGUUUUGAAUAAUGUUAAGAUAGAUUGCAACAUGACUAUCAAUUCUUCCCUUCCCAUCAAAGGAGAGAGUCCGUUUAUCCAGCCUUUGAAUCUUGAUUAUUCAUGUGACUUGCUUCACCCAAUGUAACAUUAAUAAGCACAAUACAAGCAGAGGCUUGCCAAGAACUUGGUUUGUUUCUAAUGCUUAGAAGAAGAAUGGUGUAUGCCAUAUUUCUGCAUUUAGAACUCACGUGGAGACAUGUGUGGCCCAAUUGCUUCUCUUUCAUCUCAGGCAAUAACCAGACACGGGACUGAGGCCAUCCAUGACCAGCCAGCCCUAGCCAACACACAACACACAAGCUGAUCACAGAUGCAUGAGUAAGCCUGAGACCAGCCAAGACCAGCCUAGAAUAGAACUGCUCAGCAGCAAUAAAAACUAAAUAAAUUGUUACCUUAAGCUACUUUUAGAGCUAUUUGGAAGUGUAUUUUUGUGCAGCUAACAUUUACUAGCAGAUAAAAUGGUGAUUGUUUAUCUCUGUUUUAUUGAUGUUUUAAGGAAAUUGUUUCUAUUAAAAGGAAAUAUCUGGUCUUUGUCACGUUAAAUCA